rnacentral:rRNA from 1 species
ACGAACGCUGGCGGCAGGCCUAACACCUGCCAGUCGAGCGAGCAUUUCGGUGCUAGCGGCGGACGGGUGAGUAACGCGUGGGAACGUGCCCUUUUCUGCGGAAUAGUCCUGGGAAACUGGGGGUAAUACCGCAUACGCCCUUUUGGGGAAAGAUUUAUCGGAGAAGGAUCGGCCCGCGUUGGAUUAGGUAGUUGGUGGGGUAAUGGCCCACCAAGCCGACGAUCCAUAGCUGGUUUGAGAGGAUGAUCAGCCACACUGGGACUGAGACACGGCCCAGACUCCUACGGGAGGCAGCAGUGGGGAAUCUUAGACAAUGGGGGCAACCCUGAUCUAGCCAUGCCGCGUGAGUGAUGAAGGCCUUAGGGUUGUAAAGCUCUUUCAGCUGGGAAGAUAAUGACGGUACCAGCAGAAGAAGCCCCGGCUAACUCCGUG